rnacentral:rRNA from 1 species
AUUGAACGCUGGCGGCAGGACUAACACAUGCAAGUCGAGCGAGCGUCGGACGGGUGAGUAAUGUAUGGGGACUGCCCGAUAGAGGGGGAUAACAACUGGAAACGAUAGCUAAUACCGCAUACUAUCGGAUAACCCAUAUGGGAUUAGCUAGUAGGUGGGGUAAUGGCUCACCUAGGCGACGAUCCCUCGCUGGGCUGAGAGGAUGAUCAGCCACACUGGGACUGAGACACGGCCCAGACUCCUACGGAGGCAGCAGUGGGGAAUAUUGCACAAUGGGCGCAAGCCUGAUGCAGCCAUGCCGCGUGUAUGAUGAAGGCCUUCGGGUUGUAAAGUACUUUUGGCAGAGAAGCGGUAUCUGCAGAAUAAGCACCGGCUAACUACGUGCCAGCAGCCGCGGUAAUUC